rnacentral:rRNA from 1 species
ACCGUGAAACUGCGAAUGGCUCAUUAAAUCAGUUAUCGUUUAUUUGAUAGUACCUUACUACUUGGAUAACCGUGGUAAUUCUAGAGCUAAUACAUGCUGAAAACCCCAACUUCGGGAGGGGUGUAUUUAUUAGAUAAAAAACCAACGCCCUUCGGGGCUUCUUGGUGAUUCAUGAUAACUUUACGGAUCGCAUGGCCUUGCGCUGGCGACGGUUCAUUCAAAUUUCUGCCCUAUCAACUUUCGAUGGUAAGGUAUUGGCUUACCAUGGUUUCAACGGGUAACGGGGAAUUAGGGUUCGAUUCCGGAGAGGGAGCCUGAGAAACGGCUACCACAUCCAAGGAAGGCAGCAGGCGCGCAAAUUACCCAAUCCCGACACGGGGAGGUAGUGACAAUAAAUACUGAUACAGGGCUCUUUUGGGUCUUGUAAUUGGAAUGAGUACAAUUUAAACCUCUUAACGAGGAACAAUUGGAGGGCAAGUCUGGUGCCAGCAGCCGCGGUAAUUCCAGCUCCAAUAGCGUAUAUUAAAGUUGUUGCAGUUAAAAAGCUCGUAGUUGAAACUUGGGUCUGGCUGGCAGGUCCGCCUCACCGCGUGUACUUGUCCGGCCGGGCCUUCCUUCUGGAGAACCUCAUGCCCUUUACUGGGCGUGUUGGGGACCAGGACUUUUACUUUGAAAAAAUUAGAGUGUUCAAAGCAGGCCUUUGCUCGAAUACGUUAGCAUGGAAUAAUAGAAUAGGACGUGCGGUCCUAUUUUGUUGGUUUCUAGGACCGCCGUAAUGAUUAAUAGGGACAGUCGGGGGCAUCAGUAUUCAAUUGUCAGAGGUGAAAUUCUUGGAUUUAUUGAAGACUAACUACUGCGAAAGCAUUUGCCAAGGAUGUUUUCAUUAAUCAGUGAACGAAAGUUAGGGGAUCGAAGACGAUCAGAUACCGUCGUAGUCUUAACCGUAAACUAUGCCGACUAGGGAUCGGGCGAUGUUCUUUUUCUGACUCGCUCGGCACCUUACGAGAAAUCAAAG